GACGAACGCUGGCGGCGUGCCUAAUACAUGCAAGUUGAGCGCUGAAGGUUGGUACUUGUACCAACUGGAUGAGCAGCGAACGGGUGAGUAACGCGUGGGGAAUCUGCCUUUGAGCGGGGGACAACAUUUGGAAACGAAUGCUAAUACCGCAUAAAAACUUUAAACACAAGUUUUAAGUUUGAAAGAUGCAAUUGCAUCACUCAAAGAUGAUCCCGCGUUGUAUUAGCUAGUUGGUGAGGUAAAGGCUCACCAAGGCGAUGAUACAUAGCCGACCUGAGAGGGUGAUCGGCCACAUUGGGACUGAGACACGGCCCAAACUCCUGCGGGAGGCAGCAGUAGGGAAUCUUCGGCAAUGGACGAAAGUCUGACCGAGCAACGCCGCGGGAGUGAAGAAGGUUUUCGGAUCGUAAAACUCUGUUGGUAGAGAAGAACGCUGGUGAGAGUGGAAAGCUCAUCAAGUGACGGUAACUACCCAGAAUGGGACGGCUAACUACGUG
rnacentral:rRNA from 1 species